CUGGUUGAUCCUGCCAGUAGUCAUAUGCUUGUCUCAAAGACUAAGCCAUGCAUGUCUAAGUAUAAGUAUUAUACAGCGAAACUGCGAAUGGCUCAUUAAAACAGUUAUAGUUUAUUUGACAAUCGAAUUUACAUGGAUAACCGUGGUAAUUCUAGAGCUAAUACAUGCUGGUGUGCCUGACUUUUUGGAAGGGCGGUAUUUAUUAGAUAACAAGCCAAUAUUCCGCAAGGUCUAUUGUGGUGACUCAUAAUAACCGAUCGAAUCGCAAGGCCUAUGGUCGCGAUAAGUCAUUCAAGUUUCUGCCCCAUCAGCUUUCGAUGGUAGUGUAUUGGACUACCAUGGCGUUUACGGGUAACGGAGGAUUAGGGUUCGAUUCCGGAGAGGGAGCCUGAGAAGCGGCUACCACAUCUAAGGAAGGCAGCAGGCGCGUAAAUUACCCAAUCCUGAUUCAGGGAGGUAGUGACAAGAAAUAACGGACCGAGGCCCUCGGGCUUCGGGAUUGCAAUGAGCCGAAUUUACACCCCUUAGCGAGGAUCGAUUGGAGGGCAAGUCUGGU
rnacentral:rRNA from 1 species